GUAGGUGGUUUAAUAAGCGAAUAGUGAAAUCUGGUGGCUCAACCAUUCAGACUAUUAUUCGAACUGUUAAACUCGAGAGCAGAAGAGGUAGCUGGAAUUUCUAGUGUAGGAGUGAAAUCCGUAGAUAUUAGAAGGAACACCGAUGGCGUAGGCAGGCUACUGGGCUGUUUCUGACACUGAGGCACGAAAGCGUGGGGAGCGAACCGGAUUAGAUACCCGGGUAGUCCACGCCGUAAACGAUGGAUACUAGCUGUUUGGGGUAUCGACCCCCUGAGUAGCGAAGCUAACGCGUUAAGUAUCCCGCCUGUGGAGUACGAUCGCAAGAUUAAAACAUAAAGGAAUUGACGGGGACCCGCACAAGCGGUGGAUCAUGUUCUUUAAUUCGAUGAUAACCGAUAAACCUUACCAGGUCUUGACAUCCUUGGAAUCUUUCAGAAAUGAGAGAGUGCUUUUUAAGAGCCAAGUGACAGGUGAUGCAUGGCCGUCGUCAGCUCGUGUCGUGAGAUGUUUGGUUAAGUCCAUCAACGAGCGCAACCCUUGUGAAUAGUUGUAUUUUUCUAUUCAGACUGCCCCGGCAACGGGGAGGAAGGAGGGGAUGACGUCAGGUCAGUAUUUCCCUUACGUCCUGGGCUAGAAACGUGAUACAAUGGCUAGUACAAUGCGCAG
rnacentral:rRNA from 1 species